UACGUAGGGGGCAAGCGUUGUCCGAAUUUAUUGGGCGUAAAGAGCGUGUAGGCGGUCUGGUAGGUCCGUUGUGAAAACUCGAGGCUCAACCUCGAGACGCCGAUGGAAACCAUCAGACUAGAGUCCGGAAGAGGAGAGUGGAAUUCCUGGUGUAGCGGUGAAAUGCGCAGAUAUCAGGAAGAACACCCGUGGCUAAGGCGGCUCUCUAGUACGGUACUGACGCUGAGACGCGAAAGCGUGGGGAGCGAACAGG
rnacentral:rRNA from 1 species